AGGUGGCGAUAUGCAGACAGGAUGCAAUGCGCCAAAAAAACAGAAGAAGAAGAUGACGUCAGCGCAUUCUUGAUCCAUUAAAUCUCCAUUGUUGUACAGUUUUUCACGUCACUUGAUGUUAUUUGUUCACGGUAUAUUUUAACUGGGGCUGAACUAUUUUAAUACAACGGGAUCCUGAUGUAUUGUUGAGAGCGUCUUUCUGCUUUACUGGUAUUGGGUCAACUCUCGUGUGCGAGUUCUGAAGAUGGCGGCGAUGCUAAGUAGCAGCCCGGGCGCAGACUCAUCCCACAGCGGCACAGCCGCGGGCUCCGAGCGGCUCCGAGCUGAAGAUGGAUCUGAGUCAGAGAAACAGAGUCGUAUGACGGCCCUACUGGAAAAGCUCUACAGCAAACAUAACUCAUCCCGGUCCUGGCAGGAGACCAGCAAAGUCGUGCGGCAGGCAAUGGAAAAGCGUGGGGUCAUUAAUACAGCUGGACACCAACUGCUGCUCAACUGUUUAGAGACACUGCAAAGGGCACAAAAAGUAUCUUCGUUGCCAUCAAUGACGGAUCGUCUGGAGUCCAUUGCUCGGCAGAACAUGUUGGGAUCUCACCUGAGUCCCUCACGUACUGAGUGCUAUAUCACCUCAGAUAUGUUUUACGUUGAGGUGCAUUUGGAUAAAGCUGGAAAGCUUGUGGAUGUCAAAGUGGCCCACCAUGGUGAAAACCCUGUGAGUUGUCCUGAGCUGAUACAGCAUUUACGAGACAAAAAUUUUGAUGAGUUUUCCAAACACCUGAAGGGUCUGGUUAACCUGUAUAAGCUCCCUGGAGACAACAAAUUAAAGACAAAGAUGUAUCUGGCUCUUCAGUCCCUGGAGUUAGACCUCACCAAGAUGAUGCAUAUGUUCAGGAUAGCCACUAAGGCAAAUGCUGUGGAGACCAUACUUCGCGGUAGUGUGGGUCUGUUGACGGCGAGGAGCGGCGGUCAUCUAGUAUCUCUACAGUGUUAUGUUUCUCCAGAUGAUAUCUUUGAAGAGGGAACAGGAGCCCAACUGAACUUCACUGAUGUCAAUAUUCCCCGUACUUUAGGUGUGAGUGUGUCAGUGACUGUUGAGGGCACCACAUCGGUUUACAAGCUUCCCAUUGCUCCGCUUAUCACAGGAUCCCAUCCAGUCGACAACAAAGGGACUCCAUCAUUUUCUUCUGUAACAAACUCAAACUGUGUAGAUUUACCAGCGUGUUUCUUCUUGAAGAUGAAUUGCUUGAUGCCAUUCUCUGUAUCAUAUAUUAAAAAAAUGGGCAGUUCUACAGGUAUCCCUGUUUUUGAGACCGCGCCCACCUUGUCCCCACUAUAUGAUCUCAUCAUUAAAAGCCAACUGCAUGAGGAUGGAGGGGCCAGUCCUCCUGCUUUGGGCCAAACAAUGCGUUUUUAUGCAUCUUUACCAGGACAGCAACAUUGUUAUUUCCUAAAUGGUGAUGCUCCAGUGCAGGAUGGGAGGUGUCUUCAAGGAGCUUUGGUUUCCAAGAUUCCCUUCAGACAUCCUGCUCAGGUGCCUGCCCUCCUCGACAUUAUAAGACAUCAGGCUGCUUACAACACGCUUAUUGGCAGCUGCGUCAAAAAGACCUACAUUAAGGAAGAUUCUCCUGGACUGCUGCAGUUUGAAGUGUGUCCACUAACAGACUCAAGCUUUAGUGUGUCCUUUCAGCACCCUGUUAAUGAAUCACUUGUAUGUGUGGUGAUGGAGGUGAUUGAUUCGAUGCAGGUAGCCUGUAAACUCUAUAAGGGUUUAUCUGAUGCUUUGAUCUGCACUGAUGACUUCAUUACCAAAGUAGUCCAGAGAAGAGCACAGCAACACUUUCUAUGAUGUCAAAGAAACUCAGAAGAAUUUGUGUAAAAAGCCUGGAAAAGCACAGAAAGAAAAAGAGGCAAAAAGUUGGUGGAGUUAAUGUCAUAGUUCACAUUGAUGAGAGCAAGUUCUGCAAUAAACGCAAGGUAAUGUAAUCUAAAUGCAAUGCACUUGAUGAAAUGUGUUACAUAUUGUAGAACCAGAAAGAGCUGACAUCAAUAUGUGCAUCUUAGUUUAGGAUUGAUAUAAGUAGUGAGGGUGGACAUCACUUUCCCCAAAGCUGUCAAUCAGUUAAUACAAAUUUGGUUUACUUUUUCUUAUUUUCUUAUAUUGUAAGCAUAUUUAUUGUAUUAUAUGGAAUUUUAAACAGUUUUGGAUGGAAAAAGUAUUAUCAUGUAAUUACUCCUAACUAGUAAUAUACUUUUACAUGGUCAAGAGAUUAUUUUGAUUAUUUUCUAACACUGUUAAAAAAAAAAAUUGUAGUAUGCAAGAGGACGCUUUGGUAACACCUGGAAGAGAAAGCGAACAUGGGUUUUUGGUAUACUUGAAAUCAAAGCUGCAAGCAGAUGUCCAAUUCUUCGCCUUGUGAAAAAAAGAAACAAGGAAACCCUUGUUCCAAUCAUCAAAAAACACGUAAAAAGAGAAAGUCUUGUAGUGAGUGAUGAGUGGAGAGCAUACACCAGCCUUUCUCAGGAGGGCUACAAGCAUGUGAGAGUCAACCACAGCCAGAAUUAUGUAGAUCCUCAAACAGGACUACACACUCAAAACAUUGAGAGAGCGUGGCAGACAUAUAAGAGGAAUUUUGGCGUAUGCGGGGGAAUCGGUCUGAGAAGGCCUUAAAAAACAGCUCUGCUUCAUUGAGUGGACUUACUGGUUAGCCAGAAGACAUAAUUAUGGUGUACUUGGAAGACUUCUCAAGGACAUAAGAAAUGUAAGUAACCACAGAUCAGUUUAAGACCCCCUUACUAUCAUGAAAGGCAGAAUUAAUUAAUUAAUUUUUAUUUUCAUAUUUUUUGUUAUUUUAUUUUAUCAUUAUUAUUUUUAUUAUUUAUUUUAUUUUGCUUUGGUGUUGUUGGCCUAGGGACAAUAAAUUUGAAUUGAAGUUUGGUUUUUUUUCUUUUUUUCCUACAGUUUAUCCAAUAACACUGCAUAGUAAAGACUUUUAUUAAUUGUAGUGGUGGCAGUGCAGUGCAGCAUGUUAGUUUGUUUGUUUGUUUUUUUCAUUUCAUUUUUGCCACACAUAAUCACAGUUCAGAUCUGAUAGCCUUAUGAUAAGCCUCUCCUUUUUGUAUGUGAAAUCAAACCUAUGAGAUUUUGUACACAUUAUUUGUAGUUCUGCAAUGUCUCUUUAGACACAAUGUAAUCUUCACCACAUUAAUAAUUAAUAAUUAACAAAAAUAAACAUUCUAUAAAGUUACGCAGUGGAUAAAAGUGCAGAGCUGAGGGUGAAGUUAUGCUCUAAACAUUAUUUGUGUUUGUUUUAUCAUUUGACAGAUGGGAACAUGGAGAUAAUGGACAAUGGAGAUGAGGAGCCACAGGCCAUGAUGCUGGACUCCAGCACUGAUACUAGCACUGAUAACUGAAAAAUAUUGAAAAAUAACAAACAGCUCAUCCCCUUUUCUGCAAAGAAAGACUGAAUGUAGGAAACAGGAUGUUAGCUAAGUUUGAGUAGAUUGUAAGUAGAUACGUUUUGUUUUUCAUUAUUUAAAGUUCAAGUUGCUUUGCCCCCACGAUGACAUGGUAGAGACUUGUUUGAUUAUUUGUAGUGCUGCCAGUGCAGCAUGUUUAUUUUAUUUUGUUGUUUUGUUUUUGUUUUAUGUAAUGUUAAUUCAAGUAAAGUUUGAUACAACAUAAUUAGACUGUUCAGAUCUGAUGCCCUAGUGAACAUUGGAUUUGUAUAAAUAUAUUGUUAAUAAAACAACUUUCUCUAAUAUCCUGUCUGUAGUGUUGGUUCUAUUGUAGUUCAUAGUCUGGUAUUAACUUCUCAUUUUAAACGGUAAAUAUCUUGCAUAUAAUUAAUAGAUGGCUGUAUGUUUUCUGUUGAUAGCUUAUAGACUUUCAACUGUUAUCAACUGUUUUUCACUUUAAUUGGAUAGUCCUAAAAUAUAUCUACAAAUGCUUAGUUAAGAAUGUCUACUAAUGAUCUUCUGAACGUAAACUUUAGACUAGUUGACAAGCAACAGAUGCACAACCAAUGUUUAGUUGACUAUCAACAGAUAAUAAACUAGUGAUCUUGAUAAAAAUGAAAUGGUUAAAUAAUUAUUAAUUUGAUGCAUUUGAGACCCUUAAGUAAGGAUGAUAUAAUAUGCUCUUGAUCAUACGUUGACAUGACUGUAGACUUUCAACUGACAGAUUGAUUUUGAGUAGUUGGUAGACAACUUAGAGGAUGGUAACACAAUCUACAGAAAGUCAGCUGACUACUAGUUAACAACCUGUUGCGAAAUAAAUACUGACAGUCAGCAUGCACUUUUUGUAAAAUCUAUAGAUUAGAAAUUAAAAUGCGCCUUAUAAUCUACAGGCAGUUAGUUGAAUGUAUGUUACUUGUCUGUUGAAACAAUGUUGUUGAAUGUCAACUGAUGCACUGUUGACAUGCUACUAUAUGAGUACUGAUAACUAGUAGAGUGUCAACAGAUGGACUAUCAAAAUAAAGUGUUACCCGUUUGCCUAGCCAUUGUGGCAUGCACUCCCCUCAAGAAUGGCGGCGUGGGUAUAUCGUUCCCCAUAGCGUUUCAAACGCAGAGUAGAGUUCCCUUUCGAAAGGGAACAUCUCAGGUUACGUAUGUAACCAUGGUUCCCUGAGAACAGGGAACGAGACUCUGCGUUUCCUUGCCAUGCUCCGGGGCUGCCUGCUGAACAGUCCCUCAGACGAUAAGAUACUGACCGAUUCUCUAGGCGCUCCUUAUAUACUUCCGGGUCACGCUAUGAUAACGUCAUAGGCUGUCGCUGGCCAAUAGAAUUGGAGAGAUUUGAUACUUGGCUUUCAGACAUCGGUUCAUGUGUGACGUUGCCCAUAGCGUUUCAAAUGCAGAGUCUCGUUCCCUAUUCUCAGGGAACCAUGGUUACAUACGUAACCUGAGACGUUUUACUGCUGUUGAACUUCAAUGUACAGCAGUUGUACUGUGAUUAUACUUCAUUAUACUGCAAAUCUAUGGUUGUGCUUAAUUAUACUGCAGUUAUACUACUUUGUACUGCAGUUUUAUUGCAGUUAUACUUCAAUAUACUGCAGUUGUUGAAAAGGCUUAGUAAGUUGAUUUUUAUUGGUGGGUUGGGAAUUAUUGACAGCCAUAACUUAGUCCCGCCCUCAGAGUUUGACGCAACUUGUUAUGUUCCGCUAUUAUCGCUGUGGAGGGCUCGUGUGUAUUCAAGCCAUAGAUGAGUGUGUGUAACUUUGAAAGUAAGUUUCAUUUGCAUAUAUAAGGUCCUAAACCUUGUUUAGAUUGAUAUUGUUGUAUUCUGUGUUUAAACGUUUUGAUAUUGAAUGUGUCUGUAUUUCUGUUGAAGCUAAGGCUAGCGCUAUAACAGUAUUACUAUCUUUGCACGUGUGUUCCGAUGCGCACCGCAUAAGUGAAAUAAUGAAAACAGAUCACAUUUUCUAUAUUUGUACUUUAUUGUUUACACUGUACAAAUGCCAUUUAAGCCAUAUUUAUGUGGAUUGUGAAGAUUAUGCUGGAUUGAGAAAUAGUUAUAAGACGAUGGUCACAUGCAUAUUAAUAGUUGAUUAUGUGUUUACAUUUAUAUAGUCACGUGUUAUCAUAUGUUUAUUCAGUUGAUUUAAAUGUUUAUCAUUAUUAUUGUAAAUUGAUUAUUUAUAUUUCUGUUUUUAUUAUAGAAACCACACACACCUAAUAUCACAUACACCUGUUAAUGCUCUGCAUUGAGUAUGUCAGAUGGCCUGAAACUUCCAUUAAACAACAGUGAUUGGACUUUGGACUUUUGUGCAUUCUUACCGAUGCCCCGUGAUGAUCCCAAUUAAGUUAGAAUCAGAAAAUGCAGUCCAGAAACCUACUUAACAUUAGUCCUUCGAGCCGGAUCACAGUGAUUGUCACGGAAGAAGAUGUCCAGAGCCCAUUUAGAGUCACAGCAUGAGCCUGAUGUCCGCAGUAAACAGCAGCCACGCCCCCCACGUCACUUGGAGGAUUAUGAGGUGGAAUUCAGAGGCUUCCAGCAUACAUAUCCACCUACUUCCAGGGUGCAACCAGAGCCUUACCACAAUGAGUCAGAAAUGGAGGGUGCUGCCGGGAUGACACCCCUCACUAGGUGGAAUGUUGCUAAUUGAGAUGAUGUUACAGAGGAUACUGGAGAACAGUAUGGAGACAAAGAGGCUCAAAGAUUGAUUUGGCAGCUACGAGAAGAGAACAGACGACUGCAUAAAACCAUAGAGGACAUGAAACACAGCUCUGAAAGGGAUGAAACAGACUCAUCAGUGUCCUGUGCCCUUGCCUCGCACUCACUCAUUAAGAAAAGCAGCUAAGAAACAGACAAAGAAUCUCUCCUGUCCCAGCUCCACAUCUAAACAAGUCACCAGUAGCUCAAGUGAGUAAUCAGACCUCGAAAGAGACUGGAAAACCAGUUACGGAUGAUGAAAGAGCAGAGUCAGCAGAUGAGGAGCUAGACAAUGAAACUGAGUUGUCAAGUGAACUUUCGGAAAUGAGACUGCAGUCCACACCAAAGAACAGACAUGUGCAAUAUCAACCGAGAUCGCCAUAUACAUCACAACCCCAGCACAAGAUAAGUGUACACACUGCCAGUGGCCCAAGCUGUUCGCACGACCAGAGACACAUCCCACCACAGCCACAUAUACGCCACCCUUCCCCUUUAUCUGACUUCAGAUUCAGAGAACAAACUGAUUACCACCCAAGGCCUCAUUAUCAGCCAAGAGACUUUGUUCACUGCUCUCAUUCUCCUCCCACCAGAGAGAGCAUUUAUCGAGGUCCUACCCCUUCCAUACCAGAUGUCACAGUAGAGGACCCACGGCAGUUUGCAAUACUCAAGACUCAAGAAUUUGCUGCCAUACGAUGCAACUGAACAGUUUAAAUGUCAAAUUCUGCUUGAGCAUCUGAAAUUCGAAGAGGCCCUUCUAAUUGCGGACUCUUACAGCAACUCCCGCUAUCCAUAUACUCAAACAAUGCAUCUUACUGAACAUUACGGACAGCCUCAUCAGUUGGCAUUACAGAAAAUUGCUGACUUAAUGGAUGGGCCAAAUAUUCGCAGUGGGGACACGCAGGCCUUUCGGAGGUUUGCCCUCAGAGUCCGGGUAUUGGUGGGUAUGCUUGACCAGCUGGAUGAGAAGGGAGAUAUUGAAUUGCAGUGUGGCUCACAUGUGGCAAGACUCAUGUCCAAACUCCCUCAUGAUCUUUAAGAGGUAUGUUCACCCCCUCAGAAAUCCCAUUCCAAACCUACUCGACUUUUCACAUUGGCUGGAGUUCGAGCUGCAGGUGCAACCCAAUGACUGUAAACUCAGUACAAGUGAAACAAGGGGACGUGUUGGUCAACAGAAAGAGGCUCAGUGACAGCGUAAGCCCACUUUUCAGACAGCAGCCAUUUUGCAUGGUGUAGAUCAGUCUACAAACACUCCAGCUGCUAAAACCUCAGAAUUUCAAAACUGUAAGGAACCCCGCAUCGGCCCAAAAACGGAAUCCAACGGCCUGGGCGAAGGUUAACGUGUGUAUGUCUUUUCAGCGCCUCUGUGAAGUUCACUUAAUUUUCACUCGUUUAAUCCGACUACAGUUUCAAAUGAUUUACUCUUAGGUUAUGUUUCCAGUUAGAAAUUAAUCAUUGGUUAUGCAUUAAUUUAGAUUUUUGAUUAUUCUGAUUACCUUAUAUCUUCAAUUAUUUGUUCACUGCGGUCCCUGUAUCGCUUUAGAAAAGUCACUUCGGCCGACUGAGUGCUCUUCUCGGGCACAAACUCGUCAGUUCUGACCUUAAACAUUGGAUGCAGGGUAAAUAUCUACCUUUAAGUCGGUCGCGCUCUGCUUACUCGUAACAAAAAGCAUAGUUUUUAUAUAUUUACGAAAACUGCAACUUAUUUAAGGCAGCAAUAGUCAGAAAUCGAAAUGGACUUAAUUGAUGUGCCCUAUGCUCCAUCUAUUAAACCUUCCGUAUGAUCAAUCCUGAACACAGAUUUGCGGUAAUACCUUCGCUUUAAUCUACUAGAAGUAAUGAAUCAAAAAUAAUACAGAAUAAACCAAAUAUAACAUUUUAUUUGUCAAGUAAAAAUGUAUCAUGCCAAUUACAUUACAGUUAGACAAUUAGAAGCCAAUUCAGAAAUAAUGAAUGCAUAACAUCAAUUACUCACUAAUUAGAAAUGCAUAUACACACAGUGAUGUGUGAAUGUCUUCAGACAUUCAGCCAUCUCUGCACGGAGGCUUCUGGCUACAGAUGAUCCCGCAUGACUGCUUUGCACUUUACCUUAUAUACAGAACAGAACAAAAGGGUUGUAAAUAUUUAUUACACCAACACCUGUUUUGGUGUUCUUCAUAAUACCAGUGACUGCUGUGAAAUUGAGACCAUUUUCUUAACCAGUGCACUAACUUUACACAGCUAACCAGUGAGCUCAAAACUAACUGGAUUAAGUCAAAUAAGAGAUGUUGGAGGUGCAGAAGGAAACAUCAGGCAGCCCAGUGCAGACUCAAAGCCACAUGCAAAACUUGCAAGGGCAAGCAUCUAACUGUCUUGCAUGACAUCAACAUCAAGUCAACAGAGAUGAAGGACUCUCAUGAGAGACCCCAAGAAAGUCAAAUGCUAUACCUAGAUCAUCCAGCAGGUGGCAGCCAAGUCCUUCUGAAAAUUUGUAAAGUGCUCUUGCAUAAUGGCAAACAUUCAAUGAUGGCUUAUGCAAUUCUGGACGAUGGUUCUGAACGUACAAUCCUGCUUCAUGGUGCAGCACAGCAGCUUAAGCUUAAUGGACAGACUGAAACCCUCUCUUUGAGAACAGUGCAAUAUGACACCCAAGUCAUACAAGGUACAAGAGUAUCUUUCACUCUGUCCCCAGCAUUUCAGUCAAGCAAAAGGUUCAAAAUAAGGGGUGCCUUUGCUGCUGAGAAUUUGGGCUUGGCUAAGCAUUCACAUCCAGUUACCCUUCUGCAAAGGAGAUACCAGCAUCUCAAGGGACUGCCUCUUCAUGCCUUUUCGCAAGUUCAGCUAUUGUUGCUUAUAGGCUCUGAUCAUCACCACUUAAUUACCCCCAUGGAGCCAGUGCGCUUUGGACCACCAGGCGGGCCAGCUGCUAUAAGGACCAGAUUAGGAGGGACACUGCAAGGGCCAGCUAAUGUAGUCCAGCACCAAAUACCAGAGCAACAAUGCCUUUUCACAUCUGUGACCUCCACCUCACCAGAGCUGUUGAAACAUGUAGAAAGACUCUGGCAGCUUGACAUAUUAUCAUACCGCAAUGAGAAGAUGGUGACACGCUCAUGUUGUGAUCAGGAGGCCAUCAUUCUGCUUGAGACCAAGACAGUAAGGGUAAAUGUAAAUGGAGUGUUCCGCUAUGCCUCACCGCUUCUGCGAAAAAAGAACAUGCCCCAAUUGCAAGCACCAAAAGAGGCCGUUCUUCCUCAACUCAGAGCAAUGGAAAGGCGUCUCAGCAAAAGUGUAGAACUCACAAAGACGUAUAACCAAGAAAUCGAAAGACUGGAGCAAUCUGGUUAUGUUGUCAAGCUGGCUACUGAAGCAGUUGAUCAAACCUCUGAAUCGUGGUACAUACCGCACCACAUGGUACACCAUAAUGGAAAGCACAGAGUGGUGUACAAUUGUUCCUUUCAGUACCAAGGCCAUAACCUCAAUCAGUACCUUUCACCUGGGCCUACCCUCACUUCCACUUUACUAGGAGUGUUACUUCGUUUCAGAGAGCAUGCUAUUGCAAUCACGAGCGAUAUCAAAGGCAUGUUUCACCAGAUUCGUCUGCUCCCAGAAGAUAAACCAAUUCUCAGGUUUCUGUGGCGCAACAUGCAGCGUGAUACACCAGUCAGUGUCUAUGAGUGGCAAGUUUUGCCAUUCGGGACAACAUGCAGCCCAUGCUGCGCAACAUCUGCUGUCGUAAAACAUGUUCAAGAGAACACCGAUCCACUAGAAGACACACGUGUAGCUGUAGAGAAACAUUUCUAUGUGGACAAUUACCUGCAGAGUGUAACUUCUACUGACAAAGCGACUGAAAUGGUGAACAAGCUGCAAGCUCUUCUACUUUUUGGUCGGUUCGAAUUAAGACAAUGGGCUAGAAACAUUCCUUCAGUCGUUGCUCACCUCCCUGUAGAAGCCAGAUCUGAGAAAAAUGAGCUUUGGCUUUCGGGAAAGCAAUGGGAUGUCUCUGAAUCCACAUUGGGUUUACAUUGGAUUUGCCAAGCAGACACACUUGGUUACAAAGCUCGCCUGAGGGAACCACAAGUGCCCACGAUGCGGUAUGUCUAUCAGGUCUUAGCUAGUCAGUACGACCCACUAGGCUACAUUAUCCCCUUUACAACAAGAGCCAAAGUACUGAUACAAAGACUGUGGGAUAAAAAACAAGAAUGGGAUGACCCAUUGAAACCAAGGGACCUCUUGCAAGCCUGGCAUGAAUGGGAAGAAGAAUUGCAGUACCUGAACAAGAUUGCCAUACCACAAUGCUACACUAGCACAGAACUGGAUUCUGAAGUGUGCAGAAGAGACAUCCACAUAUUCUGUGAUGCUUCAAAUCAUGCUUAUGGGUCAGUGGCAUACCUGAGAACAGAGAGUCCUCAGGGCCAAGUUGAGGUUGCAUCUGUCACAGCAAGAUCAAGGGUGGCACCAAAACGACAGUUAUCUGUUCCCAGGCUAGAACUGUGUGCGGCACUUAGUGGAGCUCAGCUGGCAAGAGUUUUGGAAAAGGAACUCACCUUGAACAUUCAACAGGUGACACUGUGGAGUGACUCAAAGACAGUCUUGGCUUGGAUCCAAUCAGAUUAAUGCAGAUAUAAAGUGUUUGUGGGCACAAGAAUUGCAGAAAUUCAGGAGCUGACCACUUCUCAAGCAUGGCGUUAUGUGAAGUCUGAAAACAAUCCUGCAGAUGACAUUACCCAUGGUAAAACACUUCAGCAGCUAUCAGUGCCAAGUCAGUGGAAACAAGGACCACACUUUUUGUGGCAAGACCCAAGUCGCUGGUCUAAUGACCUAGAGGAAUCAAUCCCAGACAGCACAGAUGAAGAGAAGAAGGUAACCUUCUGCAGCCUCACCACAGUAGACUUCUCGGACGUAAUGCAAGAAUUCUCACCAUACCGCAGUUUUAACCAACUGGUGGAACAUGAAGCACAAGAACAGUUAAAACAAGCCAAUCAGGUGAGAGAUUUAUCUGGCCAAGACUAUGCAGCUACUGAGAUCUCAAUCUUAAAGCAAGCCCAAGCUAUGUGUUUCCCAGUUGAACUUGACUCAUUAACAUGUGGUAAAUCCUUGCCUUCCAAGAGUAGAUUAAUAUCACUUGCCCCAGAAAUUUACCAGUCUACUGGGCUCAUAAGAGUUGGUGGCCGUCUGCGACGUAGUGAGCUGCUUGGGCCAGAUACUGCCCAUCCAAUUGUCCUUGAUCCCAAACACCCACUCAGUCAACUCCUGAUCCAACAUUAUGAUGAGAAACUUCAUCUUCCUGGUGCAGAAAGAGUAUUUGCUGAGUUACGCCAAAAAUACUGGAUCAUUAGAGGCCGAGAAGCAAUACGGUGGCACCAACAUCAGUGUCAUGAGUGCAAAAAAUGGCGCGGAAAGCCAGAAGUGCCAAAAAUGGCUGAUUUAUCACCAGCCCAACUUUGUCUCUACUGCCCAGCUUUUUAUUCGACUGGUGUUGAUUGUUUUGGGCCUUUCACAAUCAAAGUAGGCCGCUGCAAUGAAAAACGGUGGGGAAUCAUAUUUAAAUGUAUGACGACCAGAGGAGUCUACAUUGAUUUACUCCCCAAAAUUUACUAGGUUUACAUAAACACAGUUGGUUAUGUCUAAAUUAAAAGUAAUCAUUUGAGAGAAAAUCAAAUGCGUGUUUUUUUGUUAGAUGCGUGCAGGUCUUAAAGUGACAGCAAAGUGACAACCGAGGGGCCCCCUAAAUAAAAUUCUGCUUAGGGCCCUAUAAAGGCUUGGGCUGGCCCUGCGUGUACAGAAUAUAUUUCAGAGGAUUAAUUUAUAAAUUACCAAACUGGGUUACUUUGAUGAUCCACAGACUGCUCGGCGACCUCAUUCUCCUCAUCUGUGAAAAUAAUAGUCAUGUAGCUAAAUGUGAAAUGAUUAACGAGCUAUUAUCAAGUCAAUACUAACCACAGGUCGAUGCACAUCUUUCUUUUUUACCUAAAACAGGUAGAGCACGGGGUCUUUUUGCCUUUCUCCUCCGCAACAUUGUAAUGUGGAGAAUCAAAAACCCGUCUCUGGAAUCAAUCAACGUAGAGGUUAAUAAUACGGUUUCUUAAUUUUCUUGCUUGUGUCUGUCAUGGUACAAUUGAUUCAACACAAAAUGCUUUAGGAGCAGACUCAAUUAAUUGACUUUUUAUAUUACAGUCAAUAAUAAAUGAGUAUUUUAAAACUCUAAUCUCCAUACCUUCAAUCUGACGUCAGCUGUUGAAAUUUAAAAAGAAGAGGGAAAAAAAAGACCGCCAGCUCCAGCUACUUCUCUGACUGCACAUGCGUGUGACACGUCUCGGCGGGGCAAAUGCAGAUCUCUGAUUGGGUGUUUCACUCCCAUAUUUUAACUUUAUUAAAACAAAUAAAUACAGAAAACAAAACACUUAUGGUAGCAGGUCACGGAGGGUAAUUUAAUGAUGCAUUUAAAAUGAAUUUAUCCGAGCAAAUACAUCAUAUUCUACAUCGAUGUAGAAGAGGAUCUCAUCGGAAAAGUUUAAUAAAAUGGUUAAUCAAGAAGAGACUGCUUCACAGUGCACCAGUCUGCGGCGUUUGCAGAAAGAAACUCAAACUUACCAAUUACAAGUGCAACUGUAACGAGGCGGCAGACUCGGUGGGAUCCAUGUGCAGCUUUAUUAAACAAUCGUAGUCGUACAGGCAGGGGUCAUAUACCAGCAAGAGCAAUAUCAAAGACCAAACGUAAUCAGAAACAGGGACAGGCAAAAGGUCAGGGCAGGCGGCAGACAAGGCAGAGUAAUCCAGGAAACAGAUAAUCAGAUAAAUCACAAGGCAGGCAGCAGGCAAAACACGGAGGUAUAAGGCAGUCCAAGGUCAUACACAGAAUCACAAUAAACAGGGAAAAACGCUCGGUAAUGUUAGCCAGGGCAAAACAAGACUUCGCACAGGAUGAGUGUGUGCGCCGGCUUAAAUAGUCCAGGUUAUUGGGAUCAGGUGCAUGGGUAGUCAGCCCAGGGGCUAGGGGCAGGUCACUCCGGAUGGGUCCUAUGGAACUCAGUAGUGAGAGAUGGCUCCAGGAUGUCGUCAGCAUUGACCCAGGACCAUUCCUCCGGGCCAUACCCCUCCCAAUCGACAAGGUAUUGUAGUAGUCUUCCCCGGCGUCUGGAAUCCACGAGUUCGUGCACUUGAUAUGCCUCCUCGCCUUCCACGAUGAGGGGAGGAGGUCUCUGGUCACUGGCCUCCUCUAGGUUCUCCUCUCCUCUCAGACUACCUGUGGGCUUAAGCAAAGAGACAUGGAAAGUGGGUGAGAUACGGUACUCUGGGGGCAAUGCUAAACGGUAGGAAAUGGGAGUUAUUUGUCUGAUGAUUUUGAAUGGACCCAUGUACCUGGGACUGAGCUUUUUACAGGGUAGUCUGAGACAAAGAUUCCUGGUGGACAACCAGACCCAUUGACCAGGGUGGUAAUCUGGAUGUGGCCGGCAGGUACGGUCGGCUUGUUCCUUCUGUCGUUGGACUGCCCUUUGCAGAUGAAUGUGAGCCUCGUUCCAGACCUCCUCACUCCGCUGAAGCUAAUGAUCGACAGCUGGGAGAUCCGAUGGCUCUCCUGACCAGGGGAACAGUGGAGGUGGAUAUCCCAGUAUGCAUUUAAAGGGAGUGAGUCCUGUGGAAGGCUUUUGGAGUGAGUUCUGUGAUUAUUCGGCCCAGAAUAGGUACCGACUCCAGUCGGUCUGGUUCUGGUGGCAAUAGGAGCGUAUGUAACGAGUAAGUUCCUGAUUAAGCCGUUCAACUUGACCAUUGGCCUGGGGGUGAUAGCCAGACAUCAGACUGAUAUUGACGUUGAGUUUCUGGAAGAAGGAUGACCAGAGUCGUGAAGUGAACUGGGGACCCCUAUCGGAGACAAUGUCCUCGGGAAGACCAUAGAAGCGAAACACAAAGUUACAAAGGUGUUCAGCAGUUUCAAGGGCGGUAGGCAGCUUUGGCAGGGGAAUGAAGCGACAGGCCUUGGAGAAGCGAUCAACCACUGUGAGUAUGGUGGUCUGGCCCUGGGAGCUGGGAAGAUCGGUGACAAAGUCUAUGGCUAUAUGCGACCAGGGGUAUUGUGGAAUGGGCAAUGGUUGUAGUAGACCAGCGGGUAGUUGGUGUGAUGACUUGGUAGUUUGGCAGAUGGCACAGUUUCGGACGAAUGUGAUGAUGUCAGACUGUAACGAAGGCCGCCAGAAACGGUUACUGACUAGUUGAGUGGUGGCUGCUAUACCUGGGUGACCGGAGCUGAGUGACGUGUGUAUCCAUUGGAUGACCCUCUUGCGGAGGGAUGAGGGUACAUAAGUGUGUGCUGUUGGGCAGUUAGGAGGAGGUGGUUCAGCUUGGUGGGCAUCCGUGAUUUCUGUCAUGAUGUCCCAUUGUACUGGUGCGAGAAUGAUGGUGGGAGGUAGAAUGGGUUCGUUGGAUGGCGGAAUAAGAGUGGAGUCAUAUUGGCGUGAGAGCGCAUCGGCCUUGGUGUUCUUGGAACCGGGUCUGUAGGUAACAGUGAAUUGGAACCAUGUGAAGAACAGAGCCCAUCUGGCUUGGCGGUGGUUUAGACGUUUGGCAGAGCGUAAAUAUGUGACACUGUCACAUAAGACACGUGUUUUAUCUGCUCAAUAUAUAUAACAUGAUGGUUUUAUGUAUAUUUGAGUUUUAUUUGGGUUACAUGUUGUCUUAGCCAUUUUAUUCCUCUUACUUAUUUUAAUGUGUGUAUGUCUUUAAAUGUGUAUGGGUCUGCCUGUCAUGUGACUGAUCACAUGACAGGAACCAGGAAGUAAGCCAGCAUAAGGAGGCAGCAUGGCAAACAAUCUCUCUCUCAUUACAAACAUACUAGGACUGUGGAGUUACAUUUUAUGAACUUACCUUUCCAGCAAAUCACAUCACUCUUCAUUGGAUUAUCACUUCUGUGGACUUUGUAUAUACACCGGUGGACACUUUCACAUUGGGACUUACAUCACGCUAGGAUUCUUAUGGACUGUUUUGGGGUUUGGUGCAAAUGGACUCCACACUUUUAUAACAGCCUAAGUUAUUCUAGUUUUAUUGUGUUGUUUUAAGUUCCUUGUGAUUAUUGUAAAUACACCUUAUUUAUUCAUUUCUGUUGUCUGUCUCAUCUUUUUAAACACUCCAAAAGCUCACACAGUUUAAUCUGACCCCAUUUUAAUACAUGUAAACUCGACCGAUAGGGCCGAUCAUUACAAAUAUACAGGUUAUGAUGAUCAGUUAGAACAAUGAAUGGAUGCUUGCUUCCCUCCAGCCAAUGCCGCCAUUGCUCCAAGGCGGCUUUCAUGGCUAGUAGCUCGCGAUCUCCCACGUCGUAGUUCUGUUCGGUGGGCGUGAGUUUGCGGGAGUAAUAUGCACAGGGAAACAGCUUUGAGGGAUUGCCCUGACGUUGGGAGAGGAUAGCCCCGAUACCCGUGCUGGAGGCAUCUACGUCAACAAGGAAUUCCCGUUCGGUGUCUGGGUGAUGCAAGAUAGGGGCUGACAUAAACAAACUCUUCAACUUGUGAAAGGCAUCCGUCGAAGUGGUUGACCAGGUCAGCUUGGUAUUUCCCCUCUUGAGCAUGGAGGUGAGCGGAGAAGCAAUUAUGCUGAAGUUUCGGAUGAAUCGUCUGUAGAAGUUGGCGAAUCCCAAGAAGCGUUGCAGUUCCUUGAUCGUGGUUGGUAAUGGCCAGUUUACCACCGCCUGGACCUUGCUGUCAUCCAUCGCGACCCCUUCUGCGCUGAUGACGUAACCCAGGAAGGACGUUGCGGUCUGGUGGAACUCUUGAGUUUCUCGAGUUUGGCGUAGAGUUGAUGCUCUAUGAGUCUCUGAAGGACUGAGCGGACAUGAUGGACAUGAUCAGGGUAAUUAUCUAAAUAAAUAAGAAUAUCGUCAAUAUAAACAAUGACCCACUUGUUAAGCAUGUCCCGGAAGACGUCGUUGAUGAAAGCCUGGAAGAUGGACGGACUAUUGACCAGCCCGAACGGCAUGUGCCCAACGGUAUUCAUAGUGCCCUGUGGUAGUGGAGAAGGCCGUCUUCCAUUCGUCCCCCUCUCUGAUACGGAUCAGAUUAUAAGCACUCCGGAGGUCUAACAAAUAGCGGGCAGUGCGAAGCUGUUCUAAGGCCGCAGGAACCAAUGGCAGGGGAUAACGGAAUUUCACCGUGAUGUCAUUGAGUCCACGGUAGUCGUUACAGGGUCUUAACCCCCCGUCCUUCUUCUUUACAAAGAAGAACCCGGCCGAAGCAGGAGACGUAGAUGGUUGUAUGAAGCCCUUGGCCAACUCCUCCUCGAUGUAGUUCUUCAUGGCUUCAGACUCAGGCUGGGAGAGUGGGAAGAUGCGACCCUUGGGAGGCGUAGAACCUGGGAUCAGUUCGAUAGCACAGUCGUUGGCACGGUGUGGUGGUAGCUGGGCCGCUUUGGUUUUACUGAAAGCUUCAGCGAGAUCUUGGUAUUCGGCUGGUAGUUGGUUAGUGGGUGAUGAUGGAACGGUUGGGUAUUGGGGCUGUGAAGGCUGGAGACAGGUUCGAUGACAGUAGUCUGACCAGUGAGUGAUUUGAUUGUCUGCCCAUGAAAUCUGCGGGUUAUGCUGGCGUAACCAUGGUAACCCUAGGAUGACGGGAUUCUGAGGUGAUUUGAUUAUGAAGAAGCAGAUUGAUUCUGUGUGCAGUGCCCCAAUCUGUGAACCAGUGGUGUAGUGAACCUGUCCAGUCCCCAGGGGGCGUCCGUCUAGUGCUGCCACUGACAACACGGAAUUGCAGGGGAUUAAAGCAAUGUUAUGCGUCUUUGAGAAAUCUAAGUCCAUGAAGUUACCGGCCGCGCCUGAGUCUAUCAUGGCUUGGGCAUGAACAAAGCUAUCAUUUAUCAAAAGCCUGGAAUAUUAGGUGAAGUGGAGGGUGAGCUCACCGCAGUGGCGCCUCGGCUGGUGGGACGAGUGGGACACGAUGCCCUGGUAUGGCCGGGUUGACCACAAUAUAGACACAGGCGUUGCUGCAUACGUCUGUCUCUUUCCUCCGUAGACAGGUGAGUAGAACCGACCUGCAUGGGCUCAGAAUCAGGCGUUGAUGGAGUGACGGCAGGGAGAGACGCUGCGUUACGCGAAGGGCGUCGUGAUUGAAUUAAAUUGUCAAUGCGAAUAGCCAGGUCGAUAAAUCCAUUCAAGGUCCUUUCCUCGUCGCGGCACGCCAACUCUGACCGAAGAUCUGUGUUUAAGCCCUUGCAGAACAGUAAUUUCAGCGUGUCGUCCACCCAGGUGGUUUGUGCAGCUAAUGUGCGAAACGUGAGAGCAUACUCCGCUGCAGUUUGUUUGCCUUGGCGAAGCGCCAGCAGUAAUUCACCAGCCUCCUUACCGCCCUCGGCGUGCUCGAAGAUUUCACGGAAGCGCUGCAGAAAUAGGGUGGCCGUUAUUCCACACUGUUGUAGCCCACUCUAACGCCUUACCCGUCAGGGAACAUACAAAAGCGAUGCGACUCUCGUCAUUGGUGUACAGAGCGGGUUGUUGAGAAAUGAACAGCGAGCAUUGUAACAGAAACCCCUUGCAUCUAGCUGGUGAACCAUCAUAUUUCUUUGGGAAGGCUAAACGCGGGUUGGUUGUGGUGUCCGUGGGUGGCGUGCCUGAUGGCAGACUUACGUCAGCGUUGGAGAGUCGCAUGCUCUGUAGCGUCUUUACUAGCUCCUCGGUAACAGCGGUGAGACGGGUGAGUUGUUGUUGGUGGACGGCUAGCACGCUGGCCUGGGUUGAUAUCUCUGUAGACAGAUGAAAAAUGGAUCUUGGUUUGGCGAAGUCUUCUGUAACGAGGCGGUAGACUCGGUGGGAUCCAUGUGCAGCUUUAUUAAACAAUCGUAGUCAUACAGGCAGGGGUCAUAUACCAGCAAGAGCAAUAUCAAAGACCAAACGUAAUCAGAAACAGGGACAGGCAAAAGGUCAGGGCAGGCGGCAGACAAGGCAGAGUAAUCCAGGAAACAGUCAGAUAAAUCACAAGGCAGGCAGCAGGCAAAACACGGAGGUAUAAGGCAGUCCAAGGUCAUACACAGAAUCACAAUAAACAAGGAAAAACGUUCGGUAAUGUUAGCCAGGGCAAAACAAGACUUCGCACAGGAUGAGUGUGUGCGCCGGCUUAAAUAGUCCGGGUAAUUGGGAUCAGGCGCGUGGGUAAUCAGCCCAGGUACGGGGUUAUGGAAAAUGUAGUCCAGGACAGGUUAGUACUCAGGUGAGAGAGCCCUCUGGUGGCAAUCGGAGGGAGCCACAGAGGCCAAGUUCGUGACAGCAACGAUGGCUAUAUAUGGUAAGUAGAGUAAUAAAAGGUACUGUAUUUGUGUACAGCACUGUAUGCUGAUCAAGAUUUUGGUUAAAAUGAAUGGGAACGUCUAAAUGUUUUUGGUUUAUUUUUAACACAUUGUGUUUGUAUAAUACAUUUCCAUUAUAAUCUUUAUAAUUUUAACUGAAUAUAUUCAAUUAUCUUACAAAUAAAAUAAACUGUAUAAGAGAUAAAGGUAAAAUUCAGAAUUCGAAGUAGCCUACAUAAGCAUUAUUGAGAUGCAAAACAUUACAAAUACAGUCUAGUAAAUGUAUGUUUUCCUAAUUAAGCAUAUUAAAAUAAACAAUUUUUAUGUUCAGCUUUUUACAUUUAACUUAAUUAGUCCUUUGGUUUGACAAAUAUCAAUACAAACUGUAUAUGAAGUAUUAUAAAAGGGAUAGUCCCAGUCCUUGAUUGUGAUUGGCUGAACCUUGUUUGAAGCCAAUGUAAAUUACUGGGCAUAGACCUGUAAUUUAUUUAAACAAAUACAGUGGCAAGAAAAAGUAUGUGAACCACUUGCAGAAUCUGUGAAAAUGUGCAAAAUUUUAACAAAAUAAGAGAGAUCAUACAAAAUGCAUGUUAUUUUUUAUUUAGUACUGUCCUGAGUAAGAUAUUUUACAUAAAAGAUGUUUACAUAUAAUCCAUAAAACAAAAAAAUAGCUGAAUUUAUUAAAACGACCCAGUUCAAAAGUUUAUGAACCAUUGAUUCUUAAUACUGUGUGUCAUUACCUGGAUGAUCUACGACUGUUUUUUUUUUUGUUUUGUGAUGGUUGUUCAUGAGUCCCUUGUUUAUUCUGAGCAGUUAAACUGAGCUCUGUUCUUCAGAAAAAAAUAUCCAGGUACCAAAAAUUCUUCAGUUUUCAACCAUCUUUUGCAUAUUUGAACCCUUUACAACAGUGACUGAAUGAUUUUGAGAUCCAUCUUUUCACAUGGAGGACAACUGAGGGACUCAAACACAACUAUUAAAAAAGGUUCAAACAUUCACUGAUGCUCCAGAAGGAAACACGAUGCAUUAAGAGUCGGGGGGUGAAAACUUUUGAACAGGAUGAGGAGGUCCAAAUUUUUCUUAUUUCGCUUGAAUAUAUAUUUUUUUCAUUUAGUACUGCCCUUCGGAAGCAACAGAAAAUACUUGCAUGUUUCCCGGAAGAAAAAUUAAAUACAAUUUACCUUGAUCUUCAAAUUCCAAAUGUUUUACGCACUACAUGUCGUGGCUAACAACGCCCCUUAGCUGCUCUAAAUUCACUGUAAACCAUGACUUCUUAGGGCUUAUUGCUUUUUUGCAUAACAGCAUGUCAACUAUCUAUUUACUGUGUUAUCAUUCAUGUUCCUUUUAUUUUUUUCUGGGUCACAUUUAAUAAAAAAAAAUAUUAUAUGGGCAGUUAGAAUGUUUAUGGUCCACAUUAUUUGUUUUCAUUUGUUUUGUUUCAGGAUGUGCAAGAGAAAGAGUCAUUGCAAAGUUUCAUCAUCAGUAAGAAAAGGUUCACUUUUCAGCCAAAGUAGAGUACAACUUGUGAAAUGGUUGGAAUUUAUUUAACGAUUUGCACAAGGUCUCCAACUCAGGCAAAUUGACCUGCUAGAGGAUCAGAUGGCCAGAAGUUCAAGAACUCUGUCGCGAAUGACAAAUGCACUUAGGAAGAUAUGCAUAGCUGCACUACAGAGACCGAGAAGAACUGGUCUUACAGUUGGUGGAAACUCAAGACACAAGUUUGUUUCUAUUGAUGAGUCAAAGUUUGCACAUAAAAGGAAGUAUAACCAUGGUCGUUUUCGAACUACAUGGAGAAGAAACAACUGGGUUUUUGGAAUACUGGGAAUGAAGGGCCAUAGAUGUUUGCCCAUUCUGAAGACUGUCAAAAACCGCUCAAGACAAACUCUCAUACCCAUUAUGGCACGUGAGAAGAGGAUCCACCGUUUUCAUUGACUGCUGGAGAGCAUAUGCUCAGGCUCUUCCUAGGCAUGGAUACAGGCAUUUUACUGUCAACCAUUCAGAAAUCUUUGCUGAUCCAAUUACUGGUUGCCAUACACAGCACAUCGAGCGUGCAUGGCAAAGCAUCAGGUCUCAGGUUACCAAGCACAGAGGCAACAAAAGCACUCCACUCUUGAAAGAGCAUUUGAAAUGUGUUCAGUGGUAUCAUUGGUUGGGCAAACGAAACAGACAAGGAGUAAUUGCUCAACUCUUUCAUGACAUAAGAAAGGAUUUCGAAAUCCAUUAAUUUGCAGCCAUGAAGAACAUAUCAACUUAUAAAAAUUCUGUACUUUAUUGUAGAACAUAAUUUAAAAUUUUAAUUUGUUCUAAAAUCAAUUAGGGUAAUUAUAUGUAGAGAGUGCUUGAUAAUAUAAAUUAAUGUGUUUAUAUAGUUUUAACAGAAUGUGUAUUUUACUUUCAUAGAUACAGACUUUCUGAAUUGAAUGUAACUUCUAGGUAUUAAACCAUGUUUUCUGUGCA